UAUUACCUUCUGUUGCUGAGGUAACUCAAGGUUGUUUUUCCAGAACCACUUCCUUAGUGAAUCAGCCUGAGAUGCUCCCAUAAGCAAAGGAGCAUUCCACAUUUAUGUCUACAAAUACGCAUCCUUAUGCAUUUGCAGAGAAAUGCAGUGAGUUGCUUCCAACCGAGUCACCUCUCAAACUUCAGGAAAUUAGAAGAGCAGUAGUGGCAAUAUGGGAGGAAAGACAAAAGUUGCAGUGGCAUAUGACAUGCACAUAAAGGGAUUUAGCCCCUGAUACAGGCAGUGGGUGCAUGCACAGAGCAUGCCCUGUGUUGCAGGAGGCCAGGUACAGCCAAUGUACAGCUAGAAAUCUACAUGCCAUCACAUGGAUCACCUCUGUCAUCUGCAGCUGCAUAGCUGGGUGGUACUGGGUUUUCCACUCUGUGUACCGCCAACUUUCUCCAAGACUGAUGUCAUCUCCACCUAAUAACAAUGAGAGUACAUCUACCUACAGGCAGCUCUCUGUAUAACUUGCUGAUCAGUAUUUUCCCUGUGGUAUGACAGACAGAGCUAUUGAUCUUGCUGAGAUGCAGUACUGGAUUCAUAAGACCAACACAUGACAGGGUGAGUUUGUAGUAUUUUGACGUUGUCUGCAAUUUCCAAUGCCUGUUUAACAGAGUCUUUAAUGCAUGGGGGCACAACAGAGCAGAGAAUACAGAUUUCUGUGUUUUGUAUUGGAAUUGUAUACCUGUGAGCUUUUAUGGAAUAUAUCCACAGAAUGCAGUUAAUUCACAAUCAUGGUGAUACUGAGGUUGUCAUAGUCCACUUUUCCAGGUGCAUAUAUUUCUUUUAAAUUUAUACCACAAGAUAACAUGACAAUUAGGCCUCUUACCACACCAGAAAAAAAAAAGCUUAUGUUCUUCAGAUUCAAUCACAACCAAACCAAAAGUAAUGCACCCCCCUGAAAACUCUGGAGGCAGUUUAUUUUUACUUUUUGAGUCCCGCCGACAUCCAGCCAGUGAGCCUCAAGGCUAGUGCUGAAUCACAGAAUACAGAAUCACAGAAUUAUCACAGUUGGAAAAGACGUAGAAGAUCAUCCAGUCCAACCAUCACCAAUACUUCCCAUCUAAAUCAUAUCCCUCAACACAACAUCCAAAUGUUUCUUGAACACUCCCAUGGUUGGUGACUCCACCACCUCCCUGGGCAGUGCAUUCCAGUGCCUGAAAUUUCCAGAAACACUUGGAAAGCAACCACAGAAAUAAAUCCAACAAGCCAAAUCCCCGAAGAGCA
rnacentral:lncRNA from 1 species